GAUGAACGCUGGCGGCGUGCUUAACACAUGCAAGUCGAACGGUAAGGCCCUUCGGGGUACACGAGUGGCGAACGGGUGAGUAACACGUGGGUGAUCUGCCCUGCACUUCGGGAUAAGCCUGGGAAACUGGGUCUAAUACCGGAUAGGACCACUGCCUGCAUGGGUGGUGGUGGAAAGCUUUUGCGGUGUGGGAUGGGCCCGCCGCCUAUAAGCUUGUUGGUGGGGUGAUGGCCUACCAAGGCGACGACGGGUAGCCGGCCUGAGAGGGUGACCGGCCACACUGGGACUGUGAUACAGCACAGAAUCCUACGGGAGGCAGCAGUGGGGAAUAUUGCACAAUGGGCGCAAGCCUGAUGCAGCGACGCCGCGUGAGGGAUAACGGCCUUCGGGUUGUAAACCUCUUUCAGCACCGACGAAGCGCAAGUGACGGUAGGUGCAGAAGAAGGACCGGCCAACUACGUGCCAGCAGCCGCCGUAA
rnacentral:rRNA from 1 species